GGCACUAUAGCCAAGUGGUUAAGGCGAUAGAUUCGAAAUCUAUUACUCUCUGAGUGCGCAGGUUCAAAUCCUGCUGGUGUCG
rnacentral:tRNA from 1 species